GAGAGGAAAAUCCUGGUGUAGCCUAAAAUAAAUAAAUAAAAAUAGAAGCGAGUGAUUAGAAAAAAAGUACAAGUACAUGGAAAUAGCUAGGGGUGUAAUUGUGCAGGGCCGAAUUGAGCUGAGCUUUGGCUUGUUCAAGCUCAACUUGCAAGUAUAUGUUUCAGGCUUGAGCUCGGCUCAAGCUCGAUAUUAAAGCUUGAGCUCGAUUCAUAUUAAAUAUGUUAAAUACAAGUUCAAUUUGAGCUUGGGUCAUUUCAAGUUUGUUUAUUAUAUUAAAGAUUUGAGCUCAAACUCCGCUUGUAUCAAACUUGAUAAAUUUAUUAAAACAAAUUCAAACUCGAUAAGCUUGAGCUCAAGCUUGACUUUUAUAAUACCAGUUUUAAAUCAUAAUUAUUUUUAAGAAUACAUCAUUACAUGAGUCCAUAGUCAUUAAAAAUGGAAAAUAACAAGAAAAAAUAGUUUAAAACACAUUACAAGUUAUUUUAAAAUAACACAAAU
rnacentral:misc_RNA from 1 species